CCCGCUGAACUUAAGCAUAUUACUAAGCCCAGGAAAAGAAAAUAACAAUGAUUCCCUCAGUAACGGCGAGUGAAGCGGGAAAAGCUCAAUCUAAUAAUCUGGGUUCCUUAUGGGGCUCCGAAUUGUAGUUUUUGGAUUGAUAAUUACGGUGUUAUCAGUUCGGGCGUAAGUUCUUUGGAACAAGGCAUCAGAGAGGGUGAGAAUCCCGUAUGCAGCCCCGCUGGUGAUACAAUACGUAUUUGUCUUUCUACGAGUCGGUUUGUUUGGGACUACAAACCAAAGUAGGAGGUAGUUCUCUUCUAAAGCUAAAUAUAACUAGGAGACCGAUAGCGAAAAAAGUAGUGUGAACGAAAGGUGAAAAGAACUUUGAAAAAAAGGUCAAAAGUACUUGAAGCUGGUAAAAGGGAACGACAUUGAGUCAGUGAUUGCAGGCAGUAAUUCACUCCGCUAUCAAAAGGAAGUGCCGGACGCACGGAGGUGUACGCCACGGAGCGCUGGGCAACCCAAGAGAGCGGAGGUACUUUGCUGUUCUGCGUGUCAACAUCAGUUCGGAGGCGACGGAGAAGGGCGGAGGGAAGGUGGGUUGCCCCGCAAGGGGUGACUGUUAUAGCCCUCUGUUGCAUACGUCGGCCUGGACUGUGGAAGACGAAACACGUGCCUCGGCGAGGUAGUUGGCGGACCCGGGAGGUUGAAGGUGCGUUUCUGCUUGCAGCGCGCAUUUUCGAAUCGCUUGGCGAAGUUGACCCAUCAGCGUGUUCGGCAUGUUGACGAAAUGGCUUAAUAUCACCCGUCUUGAAACACGG
rnacentral:rRNA from 1 species